AAGUCGUAACAAGGUUUCCGUAGGUGAACCUGCGGAAGGAUCAUUACAACGUAUCCACGUACCAAACUCUUGAACUGUCCCCAAUUGAGUAAACACACUAGUGGAUGAAGUUAAUGUUCUCCAACCUCUCGCUGAUGGAGUUCGUGGGUUUUGCGCCUGCGCAACUGGGAGGCUGAUGAACGCUGGUAGCUCUAUCAAGGGCUGUCGGGACUUCGUUUACUCUUUUGCGGUUUUGACCAUCAGCACUGUUUUACCAUCAUUAACUCUUUGAAAUCUGAACUGAACUCGAGAACUCAGCUGACGUCUUGAUGGCUCCGGUCACAGACUAGCGCAGCGCGAGUUCUUCACAUUUACGAAACAAAGAACAACUCUUAGCAACGGAUAUCUUGGUUCUC
rnacentral:misc_RNA from 1 species